UACGUAGGGUGCAAGCGUUGUCCGGAAUUAUUGGGCGUAAAAGAGCUCGUAGGCGGUUUGUUGCGUCGGCUGUGAAAUCCCGAGGCUCAACCUCGGGUCUGCAGUCGAUACGAGCAAACUAGAGUGUUGCAGGGGAGACUGGAAUUCCUGGUGUAGCGGUGAAAUGCGUAGAUAUCAGGAGGGAACACCGGUGGCGAAGGCGGGUCUCUGGGCAACAACUGACGU
rnacentral:rRNA from 1 species